rnacentral:rRNA from 1 species
CAUCCAGACUCCUACGGGAGGCAGCAGUGGGGGAUAUUGCACAAUGGGGGGAACCCUGAUGCAGCGACGCCGCGUGAGUGAAGACGGCCUUCGGGUUGUAAAGCUCUGUCAAUCGGGACGAAGAAGAUGACGGUACCGAUGAAGGAAGCUCCGGCUAACUACGUGCCAGCAGCCGCGGUAAUACGUAGGGGGCAAGCGUUAUCCGGAAUUACUGGGUGUAAAGGGAGCGUAGACGGAAAGGCAAGUCAGAAGUGAAAGCCCAAGGCUCAACCAUGGGACUGCUUUUGAAACUGUCAAACUAGAGUACGGGAGAGGUAAGAGGAAUUCCUAGUGUAGCGGUGAAAUGCGUAGAUAUUAGGAGGAACACCAGUGGCGAAGGCGUCUUACUGGACCGAAACUGACGUUGAGGCUCGAAAGCGUGGGGAGCAGACAGGAUUAGAUACCCUCGUA